CCCAGCCCCCGCGCCUCUCUCGCGCACUCCGCUGAUGGCGGAGAGACGGGCUUCGCCCCAGCCGCCGGCGACGGCGGCGGAUGCCACCGCGCCGCGCGGGCCUCUCCUUCCAUCCUUUCCACCUACUACGGCAGGGAGAACGAGGCCCAGCUGCUCCCGCUCUUUUCCCCUGCGCCGUCUCUGUCCCGCAGCAAGGUUUCGGGCCUCGCCGGCCGCCGGCGACGGCGACGAACCGCCGUGACGCGCAAGCCCCUUUCCUUUCCCCACUUCUGUUUCCUUCCUCCCUCUAUCCACCGAAACCAGUGAGAGAGAGAGAGAGAGAGAGAGAGAGAGAGAGAGAGAGAGAGAGAGAGAGAGAGAGAUCAGAGACGCCAACAGAGCCCUGCUCUUCUCCUAUGUGCAUGCGAUACAGCGGAGCCUCCCCCGUCCCUCUUGCCGGUGCGCGCGAGCUCCAGAAGGAGAGCGCGCCGCCGUCAAGCAGUGCGGUGGUGGUGCCCUUUUGCCCCCUUGGAGAGGCUGUGUGGGGAUCGAGAGGAACGGCGCGGCCGGACUGGCGACGCACUUUGCCGCCGAGGCCCGAGGCCAUCUGCCAGUAAAUUUUUCUUUGCCCUCUGAUUAGGGUUCUUGGGGAGGGGAUCUCUUUUUCUUUUUCUGUUUUUUCUUCUUCUUUGUACCAAAAUCAACUAGCCCGAUCUGGCUAUCUGAUACCAUUGAUAGACCUUGGAUCGGAGUAGGCUAGUAGAUCCGGUGAACCUACCUUCUCCAGGUGCGGAUGAGCUCGAUCCAGUGCCGGCCAUGGUGGUGUGGUUACGGCGGUGAUGCGGACAGAGAUGGCGGCGAUGGAGGAGCUUCCCGUCGGCCUAGCGCAACCCUAGAUCGGAUUGGUGUGUCGGUGGUGUUGUGGUGCACGGUCAACCUCAUGAUGCGUGCCCCGGCACCCCACCUCUUUAUAUUGCGCUGGCGACAGGGCCCGCCAACCAUAGUUUGGUUGGGCGCCCCCGAUCAGGGCGCGAGUCAGGGCCCGUUCGACCCGUUGGGUUCGAACGGGAUAGAGAUCAACCUAACAUGGGCCACUGGGUUUAUGGUUGGCAAUGUUUCAUUAUAUAGCAACCAAUAACUAGCAGCCCUUGUUAUACGCGUUCAUCGAGCAUGUACAGUCUAACAUCAUUCUGAUCAUUUAGCAUUUGAUAUUCUAAAUCGAUAUGUUGGAUGGCUUGCAGGUAGCCCUCUCUGCUGCCUCUUGAGCCCCAUGGACAUUCUUCCUGAAGGUAAUCACAGCAACAUCUUAUAUACACGAAGUUUAGGUUCAGUUCAGGGUAGUUGUGUGUGGUUAGUAAGCUAUCCAACUCCAAAAUUUUAAUCUAGCCAUUAAUCUUCAUAUAGAGAGUUGGUAUGGAAGUGGAACUUAGACACAUAGUCUGAUAAGGGGAGUCUGUAUCAUCUUUUAAUUCAGGCGAUGAACUGCAGAACGUAGCAUACAAUUUGUAGAAACUAGAAGCUCAACUUCUCAGUGUAAAGACUAGGAAGAAGUUUACGUAAACUAAAUUAAAACUUCAUUCACGGUUUUACAAAGAAGUUAAAGCAGUUUCCACUUUCUCAUGUCACGAUCCACUAAAAGACUUUAAACUUAGUUAUGUUACUCUCAUGGUCAGUUUCAUUUCAAGCUGUAAUAGAUACAUAUACUCCUGCUGUUUGCAUUGUCAGAUUUUAUAAAUUUAAUUUCACUUUUCUAUCUCCAUUAGUACUUCACUAGCUUGUAUGGCCACAUAGCUGAGAUGGUUACCCAUUCAGUUGGUCCCAUUUGGUUCUCAUUGUUUUUCAGUUGCUCUACUAGCUGAUACAUGCAUCUAUGGGGAUAUUCUUCUGUACCUGUUCAAAUGAUAUGCAGGUUUGAGCUUUUGUCAUGCCUAAACCGUUUCAACCAUAUAAGAUCCAGAAAAAAAACGUCAAUCCUUUUUUGUUUUCUUAUUCCUUGAGAUGUAUCACUUUACGCACACGCUAUUGUUUACUGAAAAUCUCCCCUGACAUAAAUCCUUAUCUCACACUUGAACAUUUUAGCGUUUUGAAUAAUUAUCCAUGUUAUUAUCAACCUGCUGCUGAGACUAGAAUUGAUCAAUGCCCAAGCAAAACUGUGUCACAAACGUUUGUAUCAAUUAGUCACCACCUUGUUUGAUUUUUUUUAGCUGAGGAUUCACUUGGAUAUCUUGACAGAGCAAAAUACCAUGUCGAAAUAGCAGAAAAAAUGUUGAUUGGUCCACGGAUACAGCCAGACCAACACUAACUGGGCUAACCAACAGCUAGGCCCGUGUGCACAAAUUAGUCAUCAUUUUCAAUACGUAAGGCUUUUGUUAUGGACAGUGGCUUUCUCAAGGUACAUCGCUCACUGCUCGAAGGUGCUUCGCUGUCUGGCGUGAUCUGGCUAUGGCCAAAACCAAGCUCAAGUAGCUGAGGUCCUUGUUCUAUAACUUCUGCUAUGGGUGCCCCAUUGCGUGUGACAAUGAAGAGCUUCAAUGGUUCUGCGAAAAAAUUAUUGCGGUGCUCCUCGCUGUUGAUAAGCUUGAGGUGAUUUCUGUCAUGACCUAUGACCUACUAUUUGUCAUUGCCAUUGCACGAUUUUGAGUUCGAACUUCAACUUCAGUUUGUUAUAUUCUGUGUUGUUGGUCGUAGUGUAUCAUCAGGUUGGUUUAGCACACAAGUAGAUGGCAAAGAUGAUCUAUGUAGGUUUACACAGAAUGAACAUUCUACUACUCCCUCUGUUCCUAAAUAUUUGUCUUUUUAGGAUUUCAAAUGGACUACCACAUACGGAUGUAUAUAGACACAUUUUAGAGUGUAGACUCACUCAUUUUGCUUCGUAUGUAGUCACUUGUUGAAAUCUUUAGAAAGACAAAUAUUUAGGAACGGAGGGACUAGUAGUCUACUGUUACUAUAAUAAUCCUUUUGCUUGUAUGUCCAUCUUAAGAGAAAUUGUUGUAACA